CCCUGCUCAAAACCUCCCAAUGUGAUCUGCGCAGCCCAAUGAACCUGAAAGGUCGAGCCACGGUUGGGUUUACUAACACUGGAGCAGUCGCCCUUAGCCCCAAGCUCAAUGUGUCCCUGCUUGAAACAGCGGAAGCUGGGACGGGCAUGAAGUUCCAACCACAUAGGGAGGCCUAUGGGGAGGAGGAUGAACCCCACACUGUCCCCCCAAAGAAAGUAUUGAAAAACGCCGGGCGAGUCAUAAUCGAGAGCCAGGUACCUAUG